UCGAGAAUAUUUCGCAAUGGGCGCAAGCCUGACGAAGCGACGCCGUGUGAGCGAUGAAGGCCCUAGGGUCGUAAAGCUCUUUCGCCUAAGAACAAGAAAAGAUGGUAAAUAGCCAUUGGAUUUGAGCGUACUAGGUAAAGAAGCACCGGCUAACUCCGUGCCAGCAGCUGCGGUAAUACGGAGGGUGCAAGCAUUAAUCGGAUUUAUUGGGCGUAAAGGGGGCGUAGGCGGACUCGCAAGCCAGACGUGAAAUGCCGGGGCUCAACCCCGGAACGGCGUUUGGAACUACGGAUCUAGAGGAUAGGCGGAGAAAACGGAAUUCCACAAGUAGCGGUGAAAUGCGUAGAUAUGUGGAAGAACACCGGUGGCGAAGGCGGUUUUCUAGCUUAUACCUGACGCU
rnacentral:rRNA from 1 species